AUUAAUUGAUCAUUAAAAACAAAAAUGGUGCAAAAAAUUGGUUUCCAUCUUCUUCUAUUGUUCAUCUUUGCUACUAUCAUUUCAACUGCCUCAUCAUCAAGAAUUCUCAAGGAAUCCAUUGAUGAAACCUCUGACUUUGAUUUACCAGCCCAGGAUGCAUCAGACAUAACAGAUGAAGAGUUAUCUAUAGCAAGGAGAAUAGAUUUGGUGUUAGACUAUGCUAAUGCUGGAGCAAAUGAUCAACAUAAACCAAAGCCUUGAAUAACAUUUAUGGGUCGUUUGGUAUGCGGGAUAAGAUGAAAUAUCUUGAGAUAAAUUUAUAUUGUUAAGUAAUUGAAUAUAUUAUAAUAUAAUCUUAAAUUUAUUUUCGGAUAUUUCAUCUUAUCCCAUCAAAUCUGUGAUUAUUUCAUCCCAACUCCUAAAAUAAUUUAGUUUGCAUAUCAGACGAUUCAAGUAAUUACUUGUUGUCUCUUGUUUUCUCAUUGUUUAUCUCUUUUUCAUGCAUGUAAUAAAAAUUCGAUUAUG